rnacentral:rRNA from 1 species
UAGGGAAUAUUGGUCAAUGGGUGCAAGCCUGAACCAGCCAUGCCGCGUGCAGGAAGAAGGCCUUCUGGGUUGUAAACUGCUUUUGUCAGGGGAUAAAAUGACCAUGCGUGGUUAAUUGAAGGUACCUGAUGAAUAAGCCACGGCUAACUACGUG